rnacentral:rRNA from 1 species
AAAGAUCGAAGGGGGAGAUUCAUCGUCAGCGGUGCAGGCUGCGCGAUGGCGUGCGAUGUCGCGGAUUACGGUCCGACGGCACGCGGUCGUCGUGUAUUGUCCGGCAACGUCGACGUGCACUUCUCCCCUUGUAGAACGUCGCGACCCGUUGGGUGUCGUUCUAAGGCUCGGAUGGAAGACUGUCUCGUCGCUUCGGCGCAUCGAGAUAGACCACCGAUCGCCAGUAACGGCUGCCCGGCGGUACACACAUGGUAUCGAGCCGCAUCAUAAUCGAUUGCGUCGGACCCGCCGCAAGCGCGGCCAGUGUUUUACCGGGAUUUCGGACCUAGCGCCGUCCCCGGUCCUGGCCAGCUGUUGGUUGGCGGUGUUCUCCGACUGGCCAAUAUACCGGUCAGCGACGCUACUGCUUUGGGUAAUCUCAGGACCCGUCUUGAAACACGGACCAAGGAGUCUAACAUGUACGCGAGUCAUUGGGACCGCAUACCUAAAGGCAAAAUGAAAGUAAAGGUCGACCUUGCGUCGACUGAGGGAGGAUGGGUCGCGUCACGAUGCGACCCCGCACUCCCGGGGCGUCUCGUUCUCAUUACGAGAAGAGGCGCACCCAGAGCGUACACGUUGGGACCCGAAAGAUGGUGAACUAUGCCUGGUCAGGACGAAGUCAGGGGAAACCCUGAUGGAGG